GGAUAGCUCAGUUGGCUAGAGUGUGGUGCUGAUAACGCCAAGGUUGCGGGUUUGAUCCCCCUAUGGGACA
rnacentral:tRNA from 1 species